rnacentral:tRNA from 1 species
UCUCUGGAGGGCUAGUGGUUAGGCCACAGUGCUCUCACCUCUGCAGCCCGGGUUCGAUUCCCGGCCAGGGAA